rfam:Felis catus isolate Cinnamon breed Abyssinian chromosome B2, whole genome shotgun sequence.
GCCUGGGUGGCUCAGUCGGUUGAGCGUCCGACUUCGGCUCAGGUCAUGAUCUCACGGUUCGUGGGUUCGAGCCCCGCGUCGGGCU